rnacentral:lncRNA from 1 species
CAGAGCAACGCCAGGCUCAUGUUUUGAAUGUUUGGCUCCCCGUUGGUGGCUCUGACUUACGAGGCUGUGGAACCCCCUUUAAAGUGAUAAAGCCCUUCUGGCAGAGGUAGGCCACUAAGGAUGGACCUUUGAAGGUUAUAGCUGACUCCUCCUCUCUGGUCCUGCUUCCUGGGUCUUCAGGAUGUAAGGCGCAUCCACCACGCAUCCCCGCUGCCAUGAACCCCACUCUGCCUUUCUCACCAUGAGCCAAGAUAAAUCAGUCCAUUAUAAGUUCCAGGCUUUCUGUUAUAGCCAUGCAAAAGAAAAUAACACAGGUAGGUUAAGCUAAUGUCACUGGAUAUUAAUGAAACCAAAUGGCCAGACUCUUACAAAUAUCAUUUCUUAUAUUUCAAGGCAUCACAGCCUGGCUUCUUCAUCUUUGUUAUAUUUCUGGAUUAGUUUAUACCAUUUGAAAACAUUUUUGAAUAUUCAAAACACAGCUUUUUCUGGCCUCAGCCUGAGUCUUGGGCUUGGGAUAGUCUGGGCAGCCGUGGAGAACAUGAGUUUUAAGUCUGGAGAGGAGAGUUCCAAGGGUGGGGGUCCUCCUGGUGAAACUCAAGGCUGUGGCAAGAACUUAUCUUUGAUUGCCCACGUGAACUUCACAUAGCAGCUUCUCACCAAUAGCCCACUUAGCCUGGGCCUGCAUGGGGGUCAGGUGGGGUGGGGGGUAAGGUGGGGAAAGUUGGGGUGGGGGCAGGGAUGUGACAGGGGCUGGGGGAUAGGACACACACACACACUCUCUCACACACCAUGACAGUGACAGUGCACUCCAUCAACAACAGGCUGGAGGUUGGUGCUAGCUCUGGGUGAGGGAAGCCCUAAGCUGAUGUGUGUGGCAACUGAGGCAUUAGAUUAGUAGAGAGAAAGAAGGCAAGAUGGCUCACUGUAAGUGUCAAAGCACUUACAGCUAAGCUGAUCGUACAGUAGAAGAAGAUUGGUCCUAAAGUUGUCGUCUCACCUUCACAUGUCUGUUGUGGGAUGUUCAUGCACACACAUGCAGAGAAGUUAAAAAACAAACCACAAAAUUAGAGGAUUAUUAUUGUUGUUGUUGUUAUUAUUAUUUGUGGGAUAUGAUGGUUUGUAUACGCUUGCCCCAGGGAGUGGCACUAUUAUAAGGUGUGGCCCUGUUGGAGUAGGUGUGGCCUUCUUGGAGUAGGUGUGUCACUGUGGGCUUUAAGACUAGCUGCCUGGAAGCCAGUCUUCUGCUUAGCAGCCUUCAGAUGAAGAUGUAGAAGUCUCAGCUCCUCUUGCACCAUGCCUGCCUGGAUGCUGCCAUGCUCCCAUCUUGAUGAUACUGGACUAAAGCUCUGAACCUGUAAGCCAGCCCCAGUUAAAUGUUGUCCUUAUAAGAGUUGCCUUGGUCAUGGUGUCUGCUCACAACAGUAAAAUCCUAACUAAAACAAAGGAGAAAUGCUUUGAACAGGAAACACACACACACACACACACACACACACAGAGAGAGAGAGAGAGAGAGAGAGAGAAACGCAAGGUGGAGUCACUUUCAGGACCUGGAUCUGUAGAUCUGUGGGUCUGGAACAAUCAGUGGAUACUCCAGGAACGAAGAUCCCAAAGCGUGAGCUGUCCAGGAUUGUAAGGAAGGAGGGGAUAUUGCUGCGCAGAUACAAGAUCUGCACUUGAUGAUUUGUGUGGACGCUUAUCCACCAGAUGUCAGCCGAGUGUCUCGUUUGAACAAGUUCAAAAUAUCGUCUUACAUCUGAGAAAGAGGAGGAAAGGAGAGUCUAUUCCCAAGCAUCCUACCCCUCGAGGGACUCCACAUCCCCAACCGGUACAAGCAGAAGAAGUGGAGUGAGUCACUGGUCAUGCAUUCUGUUAUCAUCCAUGUUUGCAUCUGUUUUUCUUGCAAGCCUCCACUUCCCCUCUAAAUCAGUCAUUUAUAUCCUCAUCUAAAUUAUGUAAAAACACUGUUGUAAGUUAAAGACUGCUUGCAAGAGCAAAAGCCAGCUUCACCUACGCACCCUGCUCUCGAUUCUAUUUCUUGGAUGGGCCAUGCUCAUUUCUUGUCAUAUGUGUUUGAGUACACUAGCCAGGGUUAGUGGUGCUUGCUGCUGUAACCAAAAACAUCCGAAUAAUGGCAGCCCAGUGGCAGGGUCUUGGUUCUCCUCAGAGAAGGCCUGCAGGAAGAGAGUGGUUGCUGGCCACUCAUGUGGGGACUCAGUCAUGCUUCUGUUGAUGUUCUGUGUACUAUCUUCAUCCCGGGCUUUCAAGUCUUCUCUGGAAGAAGAGGAAACGGGGUUGGUGUGCUGAAAUGUGGGAGAGGCUUUAUGCUGGAGCAAGAUGCACUCUCAGUUCUCUCAGCUCUCACAGACCGCAAGAAAGAGCCCAGCACAAAAGGGCAGGCUAUUGCGGAGAACUAGGAGCAUGGAGUUUAGCUGAGGUCCCAAGAAGGGCCAGAGAAGCACAGCGCAUUGCCCUUACCACUGUGGGACUGAAGACCUGGGAUAUCUUUCACAAGGCAUUUGAAGAGCCAAAUGUCAGAUAAGUAGAUCUGCAGACCCUGUGUGCUGAAGCCGUGGGUUCUAGACAUCCCCUGGAGGGUUUCCUAAUGUGUUAGCUGUCAUGCUUCCCCAGGUCUCAGCAGGCAAGCGGCCUCUGGCUAAGUGCCACUAAACCUCUCCUAAGAUGUUCUUUUCUUAGAUCUGGGUCUGAGUGAGUGGGACCCCAUCCUCUAGUAACGUCACCAUUACUGCCAAAGGGAGGGCUGGGGCGGGGGAAAGAGCAGAUGGAUCUCCUGUGCCCAUCCCUGCUCCGGCCUGACCGCUGCUGUGCUCACCCCCUCCCUGCCUGACCGCUGCUCUUUCACCACAUUUUUUAAAACAUCCCUCUGAGUGUCAGGCACCAGAGGCACCUUGGGAGCCUCGCUGGGCUGCAGCGCAGGGAGCAUCGCUGGGCAGCCGGCACGCGCUAACUGGAUAUGCUCAGGUCUGUCUGGAUCGCCUCUGAAACAUUACUAACUUCAGAUCUUGAUUUUUUUCCUUAGAAGUGAAGCCAAGUUAUGAAGCCAGCAUUCCUGUCAAUCCUAAUCCCCGACUCCAUCUUCAUCCAUGGAUUGUCCAAGUAUAUUCUAAUUUUCAACCCAAUAUGUAAUUAAUGUUCACAGUGAUUAGUAAUUGUAGAGCAGACAAGAAUUGCCCAGGCAGUAGUACCUGAGGGAUUUGGAGCUCAAUUUUUAGGGAAAUGGCCUCACUGGAUGCCCUUCUGCAUCAUCUAACUACAUGUGACCAUGAAGAAAGGUCCCUUCUACUCAUAAGCCCACACUGAUGUACUACAAUCACUGGAGGCUAAGCCUAUGUGUUAAGGACACGGUGGUGGCACUGGCUGGAUCCUUGUGAGGAUUGCAUGACACCUCAAUGGUGGGAGCAGAUAGCAAGGAGGAGAAAUGAUGAGGUAAGGCUGGAAGCUGGAUGUGAGCCGGUGAGACCGGAAGCUGGAUAUGAGAUGGUGAGACCGGAAGCUGCAUGCGGUCAGGUAGGGGAGCAGGAUUGCCCUCUAUUGUGGUAAGAGCCACUUACGGUCCCCUCCCCCCACCAGUGCUACUUCCCAUUGUAUUCCAUGUCCUACACAUGAUCUUUGACAAGAUCCUAGGGCUUGUCAAACCACCAGUACCCAACAUAUGAGCCCUUGGGGAGGAUGCUCAGAUCCUAUCCAAACCACGGCCCGUGCUCUCCACUUGCAUCUCGCUCUUGGAACAGCAGCCCUUCUCUUCAGCCCCUUCAGCCAUCUCAUUCCUUCAAUCUCCUUUACUGUCUGCUUGUUUCCUUGAGAGCUCACAUUGCAGCUCACUCUUCCAGGGACCAGAGUCUUCCCCGGCGAUGCUAAAUUUGGACUCUACUGCUCUGCCUUCGUAUCUCUGUGAAUAAGUCGUGUGAUUUUUUUUUGUCUCAAUCUUUCAAAAGGCUUUGCAAUAAUGAUUCAACUCAGUGUAUGUGGUAUCAAUGGAGCAUACAAACUCACCAUGGAGUUCACGCGUGUCCAAGCAAUUAGGAGGCUAACCACCCUGUGAAAAACACAUAUCCCAGAGGCAACGAAAUUAGCAUCUAGGCGGCAGCAUCUUUAUAAUGAAGAUUUAAUCUGAUCUUUUCGAAGACGAUAUAAGCAGUCUGCACACUUCUUAAGGAAGUACCAGUGUUCCUUUAUAAGAUGGCUGCAAAUCUGUUCUAAAAUAGUGUCUGCUACUUCAGUUAAAGUUCAAGGAAAAUUGUCCUUAAAAAGAAAACAAAUUGAAUACCAUAAGAUACAGAUACCUAAGACAUCACAGGAAGAAGUCAGUUUUGACUUAAGGAGUCCUGACUGGAAGAGGCAACCUUCUAGUGAACUGUUCCUCUGGGCAGUGUUGGGCCUUAUUCGUCUGGAUACUGAGGCCUAGUGGGGAAGCCUGAGUCUUUGCUCGAGUUUAGAGACCUGUCUUGUUCACUUCCAUACUGGAGUGGCUCAGCACAACCUACUUAAGCCUGCCUUUGCCUAGCUACCACUGAUGUAGAAUAACUUUAUUGGCCCUGUCAGUCACCCCAUACCCUCCAUCACCCUUCCCCGGCCCCUACCUCAUCUCACCUCACCAAAAAUCCCCACCUCCUUCCUCAACCCUAUAUAAACAAAAGACUGAUGCAAUAAAAUGAGUUCCUGCUUUGAUAGACUCCCAGCCCCUGGCAUGUUUGUUUUGGGCCACUCAGCCUUGGAGGGACUAGGCUAGACUGGGUUCUCUCCUCUCACCUGGACUCGCUAGCAGAUAGCUGACAGGGCUGGACAUAGGGCUCAGUGGGAGAGUGCUAAUCUAGUAUGAUAAAACUUUGAGUACAGCUUUCAUCAACACGUGUACAUGCAUGCACAUACGCACACAUUCACACACACAUUCACACACAUGCAUGCAUACAUUCACACAUUUGCAUACACGUGUGUGCAUACACAUUACAAAGAAACAUGUUAGGUCAGAUAAGCAAUUUAAAGUUGGAGACAUGCUAAACACAUGACUACAAACAUACAUUGCAUCUCAAUGUGUUUUAGGUAGAGGCUUCUCCUCCAGCCUAUAGAAUAAUACACACACGGACAGUACCAUUAUCUUACCUUAGUAUUCGGCUGGUUUUGAAAAGCAAUAAACACCAGUCCUGUAUUUUACCUUUUGUGAGAGUUUGGAUGAAUAUGGCCCCAUAGGUCUGUAGGGAGUAGCACCAUUAGGAGGUAUGGUGCUGUUGGUGUUGGUGUGGCCUUGUUGGAGGAAAUGUGUCACUUGGGGUAGGCUUCGAGGGUUAAGGAGCUCAAGCCAGGCCCAGUGACUGACUGUCUUUUGCUGCUGCCUAUGGAUCCAGAUGUAGAACUCUCAGCUACCUCUCCAGCACCAUGUCUGCCUGUGUACCACCAUGCUUCUGACCAUGACCGUAAUAGACUAAACCUCUGAACCAUAAGCCAACCUCAGUUAAGUAUUUUCCUUUAUAAGAGUUGACAUGGUUAUGGUGUCUAUUCACCGCAAUGAACCCCUAACUAAGCCACCUUUCAAGAAAAGGCAUUUCUACAACUAUUUAUGUGCAGACAAGCCCAGACACAAUCAACUAGCUUUCUUUCUUCUUAACAGUCUUUUCCCUAGAGCUUCUGAAAUCUUUGCAUUUAAAAACCAGUUAACCAAGACAGGAGAGAGAAGCCCAUGGAAACUACCCAGUGUCUUAAACGCGUUCUCG